GCAAUGCCUAUACCAUAGAGAAAUAAAAAAAAGAGAGACGUCAAAGGAUAGGGAAUAACUGGCACAAUCUUUCUGCGCAGGUAAGUAGCACAUAGGGGCGCUGCUGUUUCUGAAACUAAAAUUUACCCAUGGUACAAUAAAGUAUUUUGAUUGUACCGUGAAGAAAAUUUACAUUUUUGACAAUUGACAUUGACUUUGUGUUUUUAGGACGCCAUUUUGUUGUGAAAAUUUGCAAUUUCCCGGCCCGGCAUAAAUAGAUAAUUUGGCGGUUUGUACAUGGUUUGUACUGAAUACUACUGAACUGAACAUAUUUUCAUUACUGGAUAGUGCCGGAAUUGCUGAAAUUGAAUAUCGGAUUGGGAGUAUAGACAGACUCGACAAAGACAUCAACUUUUGAAAAGGAUAAUUACGAAGUACAGCAACAUUGAAGAUAACAUUAAUGUCAUUAGGAACUUGGAAUUACAGAGAAGUGAUAUAGACUAAUCAUCAUCAUCAUCAGCCCCUCUAGAUCCACUGCUGGACAUAGGUCUCCCAUGUUUGUAGACAAGUAGACUAAUAGAAUAACAAGUAUAGUGUAAGUACAUGUAAGUAGGUAGGUUAACACCUUGGCUACCGUGUGAGAUGCCAGCAUUUCACACAAAAUAUUGACUGUAAUACCGUGUGAGACGCUGGCUUCCAUUGUUAUUAAAUGAUUUAAAAUGCUCUAAAGCGAGAGUUUUUAGUUUCUCAUAUUGGUUUCAAAAUAAGGAUAAAAUGGUACAAAAUUACAGGUUAUUAGUUUAAGUGAUCGCUAACCAAGGUGUUAAACGUUAAUAAAGGUAGUUAUAUUGUAUGUAGGUACAGUUGAGUCCAUGGUUCUCAUUAAUACCUGGAGAGAUAAAACACAUACUUGUUACUUAGCACCAUUGUGUUCCACACAUGACACUAAAGACAAACCAGCUACUGCCUGUUAUUAAGUAAACAUACAUGUUAUUUUUAGAUUCAGUACAUCGAAAAAAUAGAGGUGCAAAAAAGACGCUUGGGGACGUUUUCAGAUUUAAGUACAAUUUGCAACAUUUCUGGUUUGUUUAUUGUUUGUUUUUCACAACUAAUUUUAUUUUGGCAUUAAUUUACAUACAAAGUUCACCUCAUUCACAGAGAUUGUCAUAACCACUUUCUGCCAAUGGACUCAACUGUAAAAUUAGUUUAUCAUUUUAUAGUGUAAAUACAAAUAAAAAACUAGUAUUGUAACAAAAGUCAGUGUUUUGUAAGUAGGUAGGUUAAAUAUCAAUAAAGGUUCUGUUUAGUUACAAUUUAUAGUGGUUAUAUUGUAUGUAGGUAAUAUUAGUUUAUCAUUUUGCAAUGUCAAAUUCUAAAUCCAAACCCAGUAAAUAUGUUCACGGAUUUUUAGCUUUCUAUUGUAAUAACAAGUAUUUUCAUCCUGUCACAGACCCAGAGUAUACAAAUAAAAAGUUUUUUAGAUUUCCAGAUAAAGAUUUAAAAAGACGUCAUGACUGGUUUAAAAUUAUUGGUAUUGAAUUUACUGAAACUAGGUGUUAUUUAUGUGAAGAUCAUUUUGAGGAAACACAAUUUACAAGCAGUUUAAAAACAAAACUAUUAAAUAAUGCAGUGCCCUCCAAAAUAAUUCACAUAUCCAAUGUCCAUGAUCAACUUUUGCCUAUACCUGCACAUUCUUCUGAUGAAAUCUCUGUUUCAAAUGUACACAUUUUUAGUAACAAAGAAAUAGUUCCUCCAUUAAUAACCCAGUCAAGAAUAAACGCUCAAUUUCCAGUCAGCAUGAUAAUGAGUAUAGUAUUACGCCUAAUUUAGACCUAAACACCUAAACAUAUUACACCUAAACAUUAGAAAAAAAGCCGCAACUCGAUAAAACUGCCUUGUCGAAAAAACACUAAGAGCCGAAAAGUUUUAAAAAUAUUGAAUUUAACUAAUGGUAUCACCAUAAUAAUUUCAUUGGAACGUACACAAGAGUUUGGGGGGUUUAAGGGAACAAAACCCCCAUAAAAUUUUUAUGGGGUACACAAAUUUCACAAUAAUUUUUCUUUAAGAUAUUCCUGCCAUAAAAAUGCCACAUGUCCAUUUUCAAUAAAAAAUCUCUAAUAGUUUUCAAUAUAUUCGAAAAAAUCGAUUUUCAUUUUGUAACUUCAAAGGGCUGUAACUUUUUUUAUGUGUAUAUUUGUAAUAAGGUAAGUUAGGUUCAUUCAAACUAUUUUUGGUCAAAGAAUAGGUGAUUUAGUUUAUGACCUGUAUUUUUGUUACACUCUGUAUAUAUGUAUGCUAUUUUUCUAAAAAGUUCUGAGGGAAAUGUAGAAUAACUUAUAAGGUUUUUUUAGGCUACUAGACAAAUUUGUAAUAUAUAUCUGCAUUUUGUAAAAGAUAAGAUAAUUAAAGAAUAAAGAGCGGGGACAUGCAUGCAUUUUGUGUUGAUCUGUGUUUUACAUCAUUAUUUCAAAACAAUUUUACUGCAUAGAUUUUCUUAUUUUGUUUUAUCAGCACUCCAUACAUGCAUGCGAAGUGGGGGGUCCCCGUGAGGAUUAAUAAAAAUAUAAUAUAUGUAGUUUUUUUCCCAGUGUUUAUAUUAUUUUCUAUUUUUCUGAAAGUUCUGAAAAAAAAUAUUUUUCUUUAGAUAUUUUUAGGCUACUAAUCAAACUAGUAAUAUCUGCAUUUUGUAAAAUAUAAGAUGAAUAAAGAGGUCGCCGUGAAGAUUAAUAAAAAUAAAA
rnacentral:lncRNA from 1 species